AAGCGUGGGGAGCGAACAGGAUUAGAUACCCUGGUAGUCCACGCCGUAAACGUUGGGAACUAGGUGUGGGGUCCAUUCCACGGGCUCUGUGCCGCAGCUAACGCAUUAAGUUCCCCGCCUGGGGAGUACGGCCGCAAGGCUAAAACUCAAAGGAAUUGACGGGGGCCCGCACAAGCGGCGGAGCAUGUGGCUUAAUUCGAUGCAACGCGAAGAACCUUACCUGGGCUUGACAUGUUCGGUCUACCGGCAGAGAUGUCGGGUGCUUCGGCGCCGUUCACAGGUGGUGCAUGGUUGUCGUCAGCUCGUGUCGUGAGAUGUUGGGUUAAGUCCCGCAACGAGCGCAACCCUCGUUCCAUGUUGCCAGCGCGUUAUGGCGGGGACUCAUGGGAGACUGCCGGGGUCAACUCGGAGGAAGGUGGGGAUGACGUCAAAUCAUCAUGCCCCUUAUGUCCAGGGCUGCACACAUGCUACAAUGGCCGGUACAGAGGGCUGCGAUACCGCGAGGUGGAGCGAAUCCCAAAAAGCCGGUCUCAGUUCGGAUCGGGGUCUGCAACUCGACCCCGUGAAGUCGGAGUCGCUAGUAAUCGCRAGAUCAG
rnacentral:rRNA from 1 species